ACUCUUUCCAUAGAGCUAACCAUCGAUACCUUCUUCUCUCCUCUUUCUCCUCUCUCUCUCUCUCUCUCUCUCUCUUCCUCGCUCAUGUGGUUACUGUUCUAUUGUUCUUUCGUUCUCGGUACUCCUGCGAUUAUUCCUUUGUGCACCACAAGUGGCUGAAGCUGCCAGCAUGAUCUGAUCAUCUCCCAGAUCUGUCUAAACGAAUCAGAUCAUGUGGCCGCUUCAUCUGCUGCGGGGAGCACAAGAAAAACCCUAACCCUAAUUCACAAGGGGUUCAUCGAGCAGAACAAGAAGGGUCAGGUUUGGUAAUUUGAAGCCUUCUAAUCAGGAUUUUAUCUCUGCUGCCCUUUUCCUGCUGUUUACUUGUUUUAUGAUCCGAUGAGCAAUUUUGGCUUAGCCAAAGUGGAGUGCAAUUAGAGGAAUAAGAUCAGAAAUAUGGAUUGCUAGGGUUCAUACUAAAUAAAAUAACAUUUAUCUGUGACUGUGAGUCUGAUUUCAGGUAAAUAACCUACUCAUGCUUGCAUGCUUGUGAAUCCAAUUUAUGUUUUAGGGCAAAAUAUGAAUUCUCUUUGAGAACAAUUUGUUGAUCUUUAGAACUGCUUCCUUCACCCCCGACUUGAGUUUGCUGCAUCUCUUGAAAGAAUAAACACCCACUGCAGCUCGGUGUCACUAAUUCUUUCUCUAGCUAUACUUGUGUUGCAGAAUGUUUGACCUUAUCCAUCUCUCUUACUUUGGCACACUCACUGGGCUAUCCUUUUAAGAAAUCUUCUGAACAAAGGCACACUUUUGGAAUAUCCUUAGAGAACCCUAUUCGGAAUCAUGUCCACUAGAUUACGUUUUGUUUUGUAGCCUUUCGCCCAUUUGGUUUGCUGGUUUCUAAAUAUUCCCAAACAUGCCUCAAUGGUCAUUGCCAGUGAGCAGUCACUGUGAGGCUUCAGGAAAAGGUAAUCUCUCACAUCUUUGUUUCUUUCGCUCAAGAACAUGCAAAAGCUUCCAAUACCUCUCUCUCUCUCUCUCUCUCUAAGAGCUGUAGUCCUCUUUUAGUGUACCUCGGAUGUUUCAGCAUUGCAGACUUGGUGUAAAUUCCAAAGGUCUAAGAGUCUCUAUAUGGCCCUUGUUACCACCCAACCACAUCAGCUUUGAACAUCAACCAUCUCGAUCUCCCUUGACACCCCUUUGCCAUUGAUGGUUGGAGGAGACGCAUGGGAACUGUCAUGUCCCUUUCAAUAUUUGUCUCUGUUCAGUUUAGGGUUCUUGCCAUGAAUCCCUGAGCCCAUACCUUGUGGUCUGAUCUUAAAAUCAAGAUAGAAAUCCUUCCUUCAGAAGUGGCAAAAGUUGACCCUGAGGUGAUUUGUUGGAUGAGAGAUUUAACAGGUUAACCUCUGUGCUUUUUGUGAUCCUUGAUGUGCGGUAUAGCAUCUGUACCACUCAUAAACACUAUAUCAAUUUCUCUUUAAGCUGCAUAUAGAUGAUCUUAUUCACAUGAUGUGGUUCGAUUUAUUCUCUAUAUUUUCAAGCUCAUUAUUAAGCGUGAUUCGUUUUAUCGAUCCAUACGAAUGUACCAAUCAAUUAUCAGUACGAUACGAGUGCUUUAACUUUACGACUGCUAUGAGUACUUCAUUUUUCUUCAUUACGACUUGUUUUAGUUUUGUCUGAAGAAGAGGCUAAUAACAAAAGUUUUGGUACAUUUUACAUGAGUUCUAUAUUGGUGUUCAGAGCUACAAUGAGACUUUGUCGGGUCUUAAUUUCCAUAGAAACUCUAUGGACGUCGGGCUGCUCAUCCUCACAAGUCAUAUUUGUUGAGAUGGAUCGUCUGUGGAAUUUACACAUUUCAAUUAAUACAUUACAAUGCAUGGAAACAGUUUAUCGACUGUUCUUGACAAGCUUUAGAUGUGUUUGAAGGAUUCUACAGAGAUAUCUCUGCAAGAACUGAAGACAAAACUGUAAAAUGUGGGGUCUUUGACACCUGCCACAUUAUCCAUAGUAGAUUGAUUGUUGCAUGUACUUUGCACGGAGAGAGAGAGAGAGAGAGAGAAACAUCGACAUGCAAAAUAAGCCUCCUUCCCUCGCAUUUUUCUUUGAGUUAAAUUAAGUUGUUACCUUGGUAA